AAGUUACUUCCUGCUGAGGUAAUCAACAGCAAUUACCAUGAGGAAUUCUGGUUGCUACGACACAGUAAGACAGAAAGGAUUAUUUAUAGAACCCAGAAGAUUCAGUAGGGCAUCUCUUAAUACUUACAUUGCUUAGUGAUAACUAUUCAUGGGCAGUUACAGUAACUACUACAGACCACAAAGACAAAGCAACCGUGUGCUCAGACUACUUAGGGAGGAAGGUCUGGAAUUCCUACCAGACUAGCAAACAAGACCAGUCAAUGUGCUUGCCUAGAGAGAAGAAACUAAAAUGGAACAAAAUGAAGGCAUUUGGGUCCUAUAAAACUGAAGGCCCACUACUACAGCAUGAGAGCCGGAUCCCAGAGGAUGGUCUGAGCAGAGUAUCAGACACAGUGUACGCAUCUCCCCAGAGCUGUCCAGCCUCCUCUGCCCCCCGGGCCACGACCACUUCACCUUCUCGCACUGUUAGCUGUCUUGACCUCCCUCUUGGUGAAGCCCAGACUCUGCUAGAAGCAACAGCAGCUCAAGUGCCCAGAUAUAACCCAACCAGAUCCACAGAGCUCUAGCUUCUCCAGAGCUGCCCUCAGAAACCAGGUGACAAACCUAGAACUGCAAGGGAAUUAAUGCCCCUUGGGGCCAACAUUGAGAGGUCAGAGCACUUGAUUGCCGUUGCAAAACUCACCAGUGCUCUCUUUUCCCUCUGGAAUGGGGAUUGGCGACAUUCAAGAUGGUGACUGUCACAUCAGCCUGAGUCCUCAAGUAAGAAAAUGUGCAGCAAAGCACUCAGCUGACCUGCAAUGGACGUAUGAUAUGAGCAAGAAAUAAACCUUUGUUGUUUUAAGCCA
ensembl:lncRNA